rnacentral:rRNA from 1 species
UACGUAGGGACCAAGCGUUGUUCGGAUUUACUGGGCGUAAAGGGCGCGUAGGCGGCUUAACAAGUCACUUGUGAAAUCUCCGGGCUUAACUCGGAACGGCCAAGUGAAACUGUCAAGCUAGAGUGCAGAAGGGGCAAUCGGAAUUCUUGGUGUAGCGGUGAAAUGCGUAGAUAUCAAGAGGAACACCUGAGGUGAAGACGGGUUGCUGGGCCGACACUGACGCUGAGUGCGCGAAAGCCAGGGGAGCAAACGGG